CAGCGAAAGAGGGCUUUGGCUAUCAUUACUUUUCAUCCUUGAAGUCUCCAGCAAAGUCUCAUUCCCCUGCAGGCCUUGCCCCUUCCAUUUCCUUCUCACCUGUCCUCUUUUUCACCCUCUUCUCUUUGCUCUUCAUGCUUGCUGUCCCCCAGGACUCUGAGGAGGAAGUCCAGUAGGGUCAAAGGCUUCUCACCAGGCCUCUCACCAGCCCCUCAUCUGGCCCUGUACACCUGUAACACCCCUGAAUCCUCCUCAGGGUACUUCUCUGAGGAUGACUCUGCAGGGCACUCCGUUAUCCACCAGCCUGGCUCUGCAUCCACCUCCAAUAAUGGUGCCUCCCAAGUUGGCAUCUUUAACUGGAUGGCAAUAUACAUUUCAGGUUGGCUCUUUGCAGCAUUCCAGUGGUGCCUGGGAAACGCCUGGCACUGCCUGACCACAGCUGCCUCCCUCCAGGAUUUCUUUCUGUUAAUCAGGUGCUUGGUGUUUCUACCCCUAUGGACUACAGACCUUCCACCCUGCUAUGCUCUCCUGGUGGACAGCCCGUGGUAGCAGCAGGAGAGAGGACAGGUGGGAACCAGCACAGUCCCCCUCAUAUUUCCAGGUGAGCUUACCUGGUCUGUGCUGGCUCCUUCUGGCGCCUGCAGCUCAGUGAAGCACAGUU
rnacentral:lncRNA from 1 species